rnacentral:rRNA from 1 species
UACAGAGGUCUCAAGCGUUGUUCGGAUUCAUUGGGCGUAAAGGGUGCGUAGGCGGCGUGGUAAGUCGGGGUGUGAAAUCUCGGAGCUUAACUCCGAAACUGCAUUCGAUACUGCCGUGCUUGAGGACUGGAGAGGAGACUGGAAUUCAUGGUGUAGCAGUGAAAUGCGUAGAGAUCAUGAGGAAGACCAGUGGCGAAGGCGGGUCUCUGGACAGUUCCUGACACUGAGACACGAAAGCGUGGGGAGCAAACAGG